AGUCGAACGGAAAGGCCCUUCGGGGUACUCGAGUGGCGAACGGGUGAGUAACACGUGGGUGAUCUGCCCUGCACUUUGGGAUAAGCCUGGGAAACUGGGUCUAAUACCGAAUAUGACCACGCGCUUCAUGGUGUGUGGUGGAAAGCUUUUGCGGUGUGGGAUGGGCCCNNG
rnacentral:rRNA from 1 species